AUUGAAUAAUUAGGAAUAAGUGAUUUUUUCUCUGAGGGGAAGAAAUUGAAAAGGGAAGUCAGUGGAAGCUGACGCGGUGCCCGCCACUGUAAGAGGGAGUCAACUUACAUAAUGUCACUGGGGAACUAUCUCUUGGGAAGACGUAAGCUGAUGAUGAACUUAAGCCAGGAAACCUGCUUAUUUCCAGGUCAGAAC
rnacentral:ncRNA from 2 species